UGCAAGUCGAGCGCACCUUCGGGUGAGCGGCGGACGGGUUAGUAACGCGUGGGAACAUACCCUUUGGUACGGAAUAGCCUCUGGAAACGGAGAGUAAUACCGUAUGAGCCCUUCGGGGGAAAGAUUUAUCGCCAAAGGAUUGGCCCGCGUUAGAUUAGGUAGUUGGUGGGGUAAUGGCCUACCAAGCCUACGAUCUAUAGCUGGUUUUAGAGGAUGAUCAGCAACACUGGGACUGAGACACGGCCCAGACUCCUACGGGAGGCAGCAGUGGGGAAUCUUGGACAAUGGGGGCAACCCUGAUCCAGCCAUGCCGCGUGAGUGAUGAAGGCCUUAGGGUCGUAAAGCUCUUUCGCCUGUGAAGAUAAUGACGGUAGCAGGUAAAGAAACCCCGGCUAACUCCGUGCCAGCAGCCGCGGUAAUACGGAGGGGGUUAGCGUUGUUCGGAAUUACUGGGCGUAAAGCGCACGUAGGCGGACUGGAAAGUUGGGGGUGAAAUCCCAGGGCUCAACCCUGGAACUGCCUCCAAAACUAUCAGUCUAGAGUUCGAGAGAGGUGAGUGGAAUUCCGAGUGUAGAGGUGAAAUUCGUAGAUAUUCGGAGGAACACCAGUGGCGAAGGCGGCUCACUGGCUCGAUACUGACGCUGAGGUGCGAAAGUGUGGGGAGCAACAGGAUUAGAUACCCUGGUAGUCCACACCGUAAACGAUGAAUGCCAGUCGUCGGGUAGCAUGCUAUUCGGUGACACACCUAACGG
rnacentral:rRNA from 1 species